UGUAUUCGCUGUGCGCCAAGGGGUGCAGCCCUCGGGCUCCCGUGCUGAAACACGGAGCAGCCGGUGAAGUUUUCCCAUCUUGGUGGUUGGUCAGAGGAAGAAGGUCCAAGAGGGGUUUGGGGGUUCAUGGUGGGAACCAAGGCCGGGGUUCUGUGGAGGGGCAGGGGAACAGGAAGGGAAAGAAGGCUGCUGGGCCUUUGUCCCUGUCCUGUGACCCUGAGCCACCUGUCACCAGGUGCCUCCUCACACGGGAUGGGGCCCAGGGCAGUGUCUCGGGAGAUGGCAGAGAACCCAGGAGGUCUGGGCGAUUCUCGAGCCCUCCCUGUGGGCUCCCCAUGCCCAGGGCCAGGGCAGGGGGCAGUUGGUUUCCCACAGAUCCUGUUGGGCAAGGACAGCGUCAGGCCAGCCCUGGGAGCGCUGUGGACCCCACAGGAAGCUGCGCGGCAGUGAUGGCCAUGGCGUUGUUCCUGUGGAGGACCCCUAACAUUGAAGUCCUGGAUUAGUCCUCGCCCACAACAUACUGGCUCCACUUGUUUCUGGAACACACCCUGCAAUCUUUACCUCUGGCACUCCUCAACCCCCUCCCCGGCUUGGCUGCCCAACGUCGCACCUGUCCUCAUUCCCUUCACCUGUCGCAUGGACGGCUGUCCCGGGAACAGACUGGUCUCUCCUGGAGGGCCAGGACCUGCUCAUUGUAUAGCUUUCCUCUCUGCUCUGUAGCCUUAAGCAAGUCCUGUCACCUGCCUGGCUUCCCUCUCCUCUUCUCUAAAAUGAGGAUGGUCUCCCCUGCUGGCCGGUGUGGUUCAGUGGUUGAGCAUCAGCCUGUGAACCAGGAGGUCACAGUCCGAUUCCCAGUCGGGCACAUACCCGGGUUGUGGGCUCCAUUCCUAGUGUGGGGCGGAUCCUGCAGGAGGCAGCAGAUCAAUGAUUUUCAUCAUUGAUGUUUCUAUCUCUCCCUUCUUCUCUGACAUAAAAAUACAGUUUAAAAAAUACAUAAAUAAAAUAGGGAUGGCGUAA